GGGUGAGCUCGAGGCUUCACAUAGGUUAAGCAUGAACUCUGUCUCGGAGCCCUGGUGUCAGUCCUGGGAUUUUAUUUUUAAUACUGAUUUUAGAGUUGGUACUAACCUUGAUGGCAGCACAGUCUCUGAUGUCAAAAUCCUGUUGAAACUCCGGCUCCAUCAUCACAGCAGACACCUGAGAAGGCCUAAGUCAGAAGAGGAAUACCAUCACACAGUUUGAGACUUAAUGACAGCCCCUGGCCCCAGACUCUGACAAAAUCGUCUACCCUGAGGAAGCAGAGGACAUGGCUGUCCUCACCUGGGAAGGAUGCAGCUCGGUUUCACAGGUCACUUCUACACGACUGAGGUGUGGCAUAGUGUUCUUUGCCUUUUCUCCCUGACCCACACUAUUGCAGCUGUUGGUUGGAUUAGUUUUCAGGAAGAGUACUGUCUUGGAGGAAAUCUAACUAUCGACAUCGUCAUAUUUACAUAUUUAUAGGAGACAAACAAACUCACCCCCAUUAUGGAGUUUCGUGACAACCACCUCCACAUCUGCUAAGGAGUGCAUGCUGAUGAGGUCUGCACCGAAGGCUUUGCAUUUCAAAUGUGCUGCAUCCCAGGAACUACUUUCAUUCGCCAGCAGAUAGCAAAACCCAUUAUUUGGCAGCCAGCCCACAUGGCAGUGGGUAUCUGUGCCUCAAAUGGUUCAUCCUUGAGUCACACACUUCUGGAAAACUGGGAGAUGUGAUGUCAGCUAUCAGUGACAUGAAUGUUAUGCUGUGCUUCCUAUGUAUCUGGCAUUAUAAGAACUCCUGAGGAGAUUCAGGCACGAACUGUCCCUAUUCUGAGACACAUAAGGUCGGAGAUUUGGAGGGUCACCCCCACCCAUGUCUCUGAGACUAGGAAGACUCAAGCCUUCUUUUCUAAUGUGACCGGCUUGGAGCCAAACGUGUAAAGUAGGCCUUUUGGGGGCUUACAAAGGAGCUUCGUUAAGAAAGAAGGAGGGAGGCUCCCAGGACCCAGACAUAAGCAUAUCUCCAAUGGUGGAUGUUUACGCAGGAUGUUGGCAAAUGAAAGAGUCAGCAUCGUGAUCGGGAUGGGAGCAUGGGAGAACAGCCGGCCAGGACACUUGGACUGUCUUGCAGAUGCUUGCCAGCAGAGAGCCUUGGACUGAAGGAACAGGGAGCGAUGACAAGCCUGAUAACUUAUGCCUAAAUUGAGCCACAGAAGAACUCUACAGCUCCUUCAGAAAGGCUAUAAUCACCCUAACCUGGAACUGUCCUAGCCUUGGAACUGUCCUGGACUUGGGACUGUUCUAGCCUGGGAACUAUCCUAGCCUUGGGACUGCCCUAGCCUUGGGACUGUCCUAGCCUUGGGACUGUCCUAGCCUGGGAACUAUCCUAGCCUUGGGAUUGUCCUAGCGUUGGGGUGCAGGUCAAGCAGCUCAAGCAGCUCAAGGUGGAAAAAUUCUCAGGGUGAAGACAAAUUAGGAAGUGUUCCUGCCUGGGGCAUAUGGGGUUCUCUUUGGAGUUUUAGGGGGACUUGGUUGGUUGUAGGUCCUGAGAAGGGCAGUUAUAUAGGAAAUAUGAUGAGUCCAAACAACCCAAAUCUAUCACCACAUCUAUGUAUUGACAACAACAAUAAACCUCAAAAGAAAUAACUAAGUAGAUGCAAGACAGGUAGAAAGAAAAAGAAAACCCUUUAGGAUUUCGAGGGACUCACUAAAGGGGUCACCUCUUGUUUCUGGAAAUAGAUUCCCAGUGUCAAUCAAUCACUGAUUGCUAAAAAUGAAAGGCUUUUGGGGAAUGAUAUUUUCAUUAUAUACAAAAUAUAUAUCAUAAUAUAUUGUAUAUAACUAAAUACAUACUAUAUCAUAUAUUAUUCAAUUUCUUCAAAACUGGUUAUUAUCCAAUGAAAGAAUGGCCAUUCGGGAGAGCGCAGUCAUCGGAUCUCAUUAACCUUCAUUGGGCUUUUGGAGUCCCUCAGAAAGACUCGCAGAUGUGUUUUAAAGGAUGCUUGAACUAGCAUAUAAUUCUAUCUAUGCCCUUCCUCAUCCUCCAGUGUUCAUAUGCCCAAGUGAGAGACUUGCCCAAGUGAGAGACUUGAGUUUGGAAGGUAUUACACAGCAGUACAGAAGACGUAAGAACCAUCCGGAUGCUCCUCUGUAGAAAAAACAUCUUUGUUUUGUUUCCCUAUGACACACAAGUGGCUUUCAAGGGAAGGAUUCUGCUAAAGAGGGUGGUGUGACCUUUUGUUUUAUAAGGAGCCUGCUCAUCACAUAUGUUUCAAAUAUGACUGCACCAAAAAGUCCCCAAGGCACAUGACCAAUCUCCCUUCCUUAUGACAGUACCGAGAGGACAAUCCCUGAGCCUGACGCAACGCUGCUGCUGGGACCUUCAGGGUUUUCUAAAACCUUUUAUUUCUGUGUGCAAAGUGCUUUCAGACACAUUUCUGUCCUUGUGUCUCACCACAAGCCUGUGAGAUCAGAGCUGUUGGUGAGAUUUCCACUUUUGAGAAGUAUAACUACUUUCACACAUCGGGUCCCAAUCAUCACGGACCACAGGGAUAAGGACAGCUUCUUGGAGUAGUCACUGACACACACCAACAACUUUACACCAGUAACUGCUUCUGCAGGUCUCCAGGUACCCAUGGCUCAAAGAUGGUUGUCACAGUUCUCUGUGUCACAUAGCCCACUGCAAACCAACAAGCAAACAAGAGGCAAGCUGGAUGCAGGCAGCUAACUAUGCUCUCUGUUAACAUAAGCGUUUUGUUCUCAAUUGUCCUUUGCUGGUGUUGGCCUGCCUGGACCCUGUGGAUGUCUUUAUUACUACAGGCAUCCUGACAAGAAUCCUCUCUCACUGUGUGGAUUUAGGCUGACAACAUCUUUAAACCAACAACUGAAGAUGCCACUGUAACAGACUUGUGAGGUCAGGUGCUUACGUGGAAAACGAAUCACGUUAGUAAUUGGGGUUUGGCAGGCUCCAAAGAGCCACCAAGCGCACAAAGCUUCUGUCCAUUCUCUACAGGAGUCAAUAAACAUCUGUCAUUUUAAGAUGCCAGCUGAGCCAAGAUAUCUUAGGAUAUAACUGUAUAUAUUGGAUCUAAUUAAAAGCAAUUCAUUCA
rnacentral:lncRNA from 1 species